UACGGAGGGUGCAAGCGUUAUCCGGAUUCACUGGGUUUAAAGGGUGCGUAGGCGGGUAUGUAAGUCAGUGGUGAAAUCCUGGAGCUUAACUCCAGAACUGCCAUUGAUACUAUAUAUCUUGAAUAUUGUGGAGGUUAGCGGAAUAUGUCAUGUAGCGGUGAAAAUGCUUAGAUAUGACAUAGAACACCCAUUGCGAAGGCAGCUAACUACGCGAUCAUUGACGCUGAUGCACGAAAGCGUGGGGAUCAAACAGGAUUAGAAACCC
rnacentral:rRNA from 1 species